rnacentral:rRNA from 1 species
AUUGAGCGCUGGCGGCAGGCCUAACACAUGCAAGUCGAACGGUAACAGGAAGACGCUUGCUUCUUUGCUGACGAGUGGCGGACGGGUGAGUAAUGUCUGGGAAACUGCCUGAUGGAGGGGGAUAACUACUGGAAACGGUAGCUAAUACCGCAUAACGUCGCAAGACCAAAGAGGGGGACCUUCGGGCCUCUUGCCAUCGGAUGUGCCCAGAUGGGAUUAGCUAGUAGGUGGGGUAACGGCUCACCUAGGCGACGGUCCCUAGCUGGUCUGAGAGGAUGACCAGCCACACUGGAACUGAGACACGGUCCAGACUCCUACGGGAGGCAGCAGUGGGGAAUAUUGCACAAUGGGCGCAAGCCUGAUGCAGCCAUGCCGCGUGUAUGAAGAAGGCCUUCGGGUUGUAAAGUACUUUCAGCGGGGAGGAAGGGAGUAAAGUUAAUACCUUUGCUCAUUGACGUUACCCGCAGAAGAAGCACCGGCUAACUCCGUG